rnacentral:rRNA from 1 species
GCCCCUUUCGGGGGGUACACGAGUGGCGAACGGGUGAGUAACACGUGGGUGAUCUGCCUUGCACUCUGGGAUAAGCCUGGGAAACCGGGUCUAAUACCGGAUAGGACCACAUGUCGCAUGGCGUGUGGUGGAAAGCCUUGUGCGGUGUGAGAUGGGCCCGCGGCCUAUCAGCUUGUUGGUGGGGUAAUGGCCUACCAAGGCGACGACGGGUAGCCGGCCUGAGAGGGCGACCGGCCACACUGGGACUGAGACACGGCCCAGACUCCUACGGGAGGCAGCAGUGGGGAAUAUUGCACAAUGGGCGCAAGCCUGAUGCAGCGACGCCGCGUGAGGGAUGACGGCCUUCGGGUUGUAAACCUCUUUCAGUGCCGACGAAGCGCAAGUGACGGUAGGUACAGAAGAAGCACCGGCCAACUACGUGCCAGCAGCCGCGGUAAUACGUAGGGUGCGAGCGUUGUCCGGAAUUACUGGGCGUAAAGAGCUCGUAGGCGGUUUGUCGCGUCGUCUGUGAAAACCUGCAGCUUAACUGUGGGCGUGCAGGCGAUACGGGCAGACUUGAGUACUGCAGGGGAGACUGGAAUUCCUGGUGUAGCGGUGAAAUGCGCAGAUAUCAGGAGGAACACCGGUGGCGAAGGCGGGUCUCUGGGCAGUAACUGACGCUGAGGAGCGAAAGCGUGGGGAGCGAACAGGAUUAGAUACCCUGGUAGUCCACGCCGUAAACGGUGGGUACUAGGUGUGGGGCCCUUCCACGGGCUCUGUGCCGUAGCU